rnacentral:rRNA from 1 species
UUGCUGCUCGAAGAUCUUAGUGGCGGACGGGUGAGUAACGCGUGGGCAAUCUGCCCGUAAGAGGGGGAUAACACCUAGAAAUGGGUGCUAAUACCGCAUAACAUCAUAGGGUUGCAUGACCUUGUGAUCAAAGGAGAAAUCCGCUUAUGGAUGAGCCCGCGUCUGAUUAGCUAGUUGGUGGGGUAACGGCCUACCAAGGCGACGAUCAGUAGCCGGCCUGAGAGGGUGAUCGGCCACACUGGAACUGAGACACGGUCCAGACUCCUACGGGAGGCAGCAGUGGGGAAUCUUCCGCAAUGGGCGAAAGCCUGACGGAGCAACGCCGCGUGAGUGAUGAAGGCCUUCGGGUUGUAAAACUCUGUCUUCAGGGAAGAAAAAAAUGACGGUACCUGAGGAGGAAGCCACGGCUAACUACGUGCCAGCAGCCGCGGUAAUACGUAGGUGGCAAGCGUUGUCCGGAAUUACUGGGCGUAAAGAGCGCGUAGGCGGGGAUUUAAGUCAGGAGUGAAAACUACCGGCUCAACCGGUAGCCUGCUCUUGAAACUGAAUCUCUUGAGGGUAUGAGAGGAAAGCGGAAUUCCCAGUGUAGCGGUGAAAUGCGUAGAUAUUGGGAGGAACACCAGUGGCGAAGGCGGCUUUCUGGCAUACAACUGACGCUGAGGCGCGAAAGCGUGGGGAGCAAACGGGAUUAGAUACCCCGGUAGUCCACGCCGUAAACGAUGGGCACUAGGUGUAGGAGGUAUCGACCCCUUCUGUGCCGUAGUUAACACAAUAAGUGCCCCGCCUGGGGAGUACGGCCGCAAGGUUGAAACUCAAAGGAAUUGACGGGGGCCCGCACAAGCGGUGGAGUAUGUGGUUUAAUUCGACGCAACGCGAAGAACCUUACCAGGGCUUGACAUC